GAUGUUGGGAGAGGAGUGGAACCUCCCAAACCACCUUCUCGUGCUUCUCCCUCAGAGGGGUCCCCCACUCUGGUUGCCAGGGUGCCAGACACACCACAGGCAGGCAUGCAUGUGAGGGAGGGUACAGCACCACGCCAGGCCCAGCCAGGCCCACCGCCAGAAUUGUGGUCCAAGCCGGCUUGAAUUGCAGUGUCCUCAUAGCAACCUCAUCACCAUGGCAACUGGAAACGGAUCCAAUCAGCCAUCCUUAUGGUGCAGGAGAACAGAAGAGAUCUUGAGAUCAUCGGGUAUCAACUCAACACUUCACAGACAGGGAAAUGGAAGCCAAGGACGGUGUUUUAUUCAUCAUCAAUGCCCGCAGUGUUGGCGCCCUGUAGAAAUCUAUGAGCACAUCUUCCAGUUUUAGUUCACUGUGGAAAGGGCCAGACACACCUAAUAAAGACAAUGGGGGACCGGCGAUGCGCUGGAACACGCAGAUCUCAACUUCCAACUCAGGCCGUGCUGUCCCUCGGGGAAGGGAACAACCCAGACAACCGUCACCAGCCGCAGUAGUUCAUUCUGGGAUGUGCACCCGCCUGGGACCCGAGGACGUUUCCACAAGAGACCAGAAUUGGAAUCUGUGCCCCUCCCACUAAACCUGGACAUUGGCCCUCUCCUUCCUUCAGAGUGGAACUCCCACCCUCAGCUCUCCUGGGUCUCCAGUUUGCUGACUGCAGAUCUUUGGACUUCACCUCCCCUGUAAAUGCCUGCAACCCCUGGCUGAGCACCAGCAUCUAAAAUGAAAACUCAUGGCCUCUCCUCGGCCCAGCUCAAUCUCAAGAGUUAGAGGUGGGGUGCUUCACCCCAAACCUUGCAGAAGAGGGAGGAAGGGACAAAGGAGGAGGAACCUGCCAGGAUGCUGCCUCACUGUCCCGGGGAAACGCUGUGACUCUCUAAUAAAGACACUGUUACUGAUACUGCAGUCACGACUCAGCGUCUGCCACUUCAGUCUCCUUACAAAGCAUCAGCUGCACCAGGGGAGGGAAGAGGGGGCGUGUCCUAAUGUCAGGCCCCGCCUCCUCACACAGGAUGGUCCCUGUCCCAGUGUCUCACUCAGUGAGAGAAGG